rnacentral:tRNA from 1 species
GGGGUUGUGGCUCAGCGGUAGAGUGCUCGCCUAGCACGUGUGAGGCCCUGGGUUCAAUCCUCAGCACCACA